rnacentral:lncRNA from 1 species
AACAGAAAUGGAAUAAAAUUCCAAAAAAGCUGUAGUUUUUUCAUUUGGCUUGAAGUCAGUAUAGAGAAGUUAUUUAAAAUAAGAUUUUCGUCCCACGGAAUUGUCCCCUUUGUUAUUGUAUAUCCUUCAGGUUUAUGGGACAGCACUAGAGGAAAGUGACAGCCUCAGAGGACCUUCAGAUGGUGUCCUGGGUAGCUGAAACUGUGGAAAGCAAAACCGUGGAUAAGGGGGAACUACUAUACUGAAAAUGUACAAAACAGAGAAGAUUUCAUUGAAGAAGUCUGCUGUUUCUGGAAUGGGAAAUUAAGGGAGAGGUUCGUGAAGAAGUGAUUGGGAAAGAGAGCAAGUCUUGGUUGGACAGUGUGAUUCAAUAGAAAUGUGAGGAGGAAAACUGCAAUUAUUUCUGAACCUUCCCAUCAGCCUUGUCUCUGAUAGAAUUGGCCUGUUGUGGACGGGCUUUGUGUAGAUUAGAGAAAGAAGAAGAUGCUCUUUUGGUGUAAUUGUUCAGUUCCACAUGGCCGGGGAGGCCUCACGAUCAUGGCAGAAGGCAAGGAGGAGCAAGUCACAUCUUAUGUGGAUGGCAGCAGGCAAAGAGAGAGCGAGCUUGUGCAAGGAGACUCCCAUUUUUAAAACCAUCAGAUCUCGUGAGACUUAUUCACUAUCAGGAGAACAGCAAGCUAAAUCAGUGUGAGACCAAGGACCCUGGGGCUCCUCCAGUCAUUGCAGCUGUAUCACAACUACCCUGACAGAUUUCUUGCUCAGGGCAAGCCACCUGCCAUGUCUUGAGAACACUCAAGCAGCACAUGGCGAGGAAUGGAGAUGGACAGACAUGGGCCAGCAAGAAACAGGCUUGCCAACAACAGCUUGCGUGAUCCUGAAAGUGGGUCCUCUAGCCCCAUGUGACUGUUGCCCUGGCCAACAACUUAACUGCAACCUCAAGAGAUACCUACCCUGAGUCAGAACCACCCAGUCAAACUACCCCUGGCAUCUUAACUCAGAGUAACUGCCCCGUUGACUGGAGGAUGGCCAUUUGACAACACAUUAUUUCCUGAGGAAACUUUUGACUUCUGGUGACUUGGGCCCCAGGCUGGCUGAAUUUGCCAAGACCCGGCUUUGCCCUUGCAUGUGUGAAAAAUGGCCUCAAGUAUGACCCCAUGGCAAGAUGGAAAGAAACUGUGCUCUUGAAUAGCUUAGAGAUUCAGAGCCCCCCAACCAGCUUGAAACGCCCACCUCAAAACAAUGACAUGAGAAGAAACAAACCUCUAAUUUAAGCCACUGUCUUUUUAAGAGCAUUGUAGUUUGAGAUCUCUUUCUUUCAGCUGUUUAGUCCCCAGCUAAACACUUACUGACCUUAUCUUACAGGUCAAGAAAAAUGAAGUUCUGGGGUACAAGUCACUAAUGUAUUAGAAAUUUUCCAGCUCUCCCUCCUUGCCCAGCAGAGUAUAUUUCCACUCAAACACAAUGAACCCAUUUGGAAUGGGACAAAACAAAAUGGGGUGGGCCUGGAACAAGAGAAAGUUCAGCUACACAGGAUCCAGGUCAAAACUCUUUAAUCCUCCCAUUUCUGGAUUUCAAAUGAACACCUUUUUGUCUAGCAGUUCUCCUCCAGAGGUUUGCUUUCCCACAACAGCUUGUCAACAGUGUAAGAAGUUCAAAAAGAACUUUUGGGGUUGCACGUUGCAGGUUGUGUGGCAUCAUCCCAGCUUGUCUCAACACCUCUGAUGAACAGUAGCGGAAGAAAGGACUCUUUCCACAUGAGUUCCUCGGCGGUCCCCGUCUCUUAGGGAGUUUAUAAAAAAAUCCAUCAUCUUGUUCUACUAAACCCAAGUAAAUAUAAUUAACACCAAAUGUGUGUUCUGCUCAUCAAAUUGUACAGCCAUAAAGAGAUAAUCUUUGUAAAAUAAAUGACUAGGCUUCCUUGAUAAGUCAAUAAGGCAAAAACCUUGGGAGUAAAUUAAGACAAAUGGGAAACCAGCUGGAAGAAAUCAAACAGGCAAAGCAGGUGGGGUGGCUUGUGUUUGGGAAGAUAAAACACAGCAUGAAGCAUUUGCACAUUUACACAAAAGCAAGAUCUAUAACCUUAUGCUUUGAACUGAGCUAAAUGCAUGACUUAUUUAAGAAGAGCUGGUAGCUGGGAACUGGUUGAACUAAGAGUGUCAAGACCAAUUCUGAUGAUGUUUUCUUGUACUUUGCCUGUUUUUACAUGCUCUGAAGAUUGCCAAACAACCAGCAGCAGAUGGUCCUGUAUCUAAGUGCAAUGCUAAGUGGUGUGAGGGAUGGCAUGAUUGACCAUUUACUCAGAGGAGCAUAAAAGAAGGAAUUCUUGUUAAAAAUGCCUCUGUUGUAUCAAGUGGCUGUAAAACAGGCAAGAGGGCCAGAAUAGAAUUCUGGUAUAUCUACACUUCAAACAAGUUUACAAUGGAAGAAUGGCCUCCUCAAAACCCCAAACAGCUGGAAUCGGGCCAAUUAGUAGGAUUAUUGCAAAGACCAGACAUUUAUCAGGACCCUUUUGCAGAAACACAUGUGGGGCUGUAAGCGAUGCAUUUCCUGGCUUCUGACAUGAGCUAAACAUCUGUUCAAGGCAAGGCUGUAAUGAAACUGUGAGUUGGCUAUUCUUCCACAUUUCUUUGCAAUACCAAGGCAAGGCUGGAGCCCAGAAGGCACAACUGUCAGCCUCGUCAAGUGGAGGUUCUUUUGUAGGUCCCAAGGCAUCUGAGAGUGGAGAGUGAUUGGACUCGGGUGAAGACUCCAAGAUGGCGAUCGCCACCUCGGAUACCCUGACUCAGCAUUUCCGGGUUCACCUUUCCUGUUCCCGCCAACCCGACUAACGCGCAUGCCCACUAGGGCGUGUCACACAGAGAAGUGCGAAACUCAACCGACCCCGCCCCUACCCCGCCCACUCCUCACCCAGCAUCCAUAAAAGCGUGCUGCCCCUUUGGCACAGCGCGACUUCCCUGGCCCUCCCCCUGCGGACCAGUGAACCUCGCCCGAGAGCUCAAUAAAGAAGAUUUUUGCCCUCUUUG